GACGAACGCUGGCGGCGUGCUUAACACAUGCAAGUCGAACGGAAAGGCCCCUUUGGGGGUACUCGAGUGGCGAACGGGUGAGUAACACGUGAGUAACCUGCCCUUGACUUCGGGAUAACUUCAGGAAACUGGGGCUAAUACCGGAUAGGAAUCCUUGCUGCAUGGUGGGGGUUGGAAAGCUUCGGCGGCUUUGGAUGGACUCGCGGCUUAUCAGCUUGUUGGUGGGGUAGUGGCUUACCAAGGCUUUGACGGGUAGCCGGCCUGAGAGGGCGACCGGCCACAUUGGGACUGAGAUACGGCCCAGACUCCUACGGGAGGCAGCAGUGGGGAAUAUUGCACAAUGGGCGGAAGCCUGAUGCAGCAACGCCGCGUGCGGGAUGACGGCCUUCGGGUUGUAAACCGCUUUCAGCAGGGGCGAAGCUUUUGUGACGGUACCUGCAGAAGAAGCACCGGCUAACUACGUG
rnacentral:rRNA from 1 species